AUGAACGCUAGCUACAGGCUUAACACAUGCAAGUCGAGGGGCAGCAUGGUCUUAGCUUGCUAAGGCCGAUGGCGACCGGCGCACGGGUGAGUAACACGUAUCCAACCUGCCGUCUACUCUUGGACAGCCUUCUGAAAGGAAGAUUAAUACAAGAUGGCAUCAUGAGUCCACAUGUUCACAUGAUUAAAGGUAUUCCGGUAGACGAUGGGGAUGCGUUCCAUUAGAUAGUAGGCGGGGUAACGGCCCACCUAGUCUUCGAUGGAUAGGGGUUCUGAGAGGAAGGUCCCCCACAUUGGAACUGAGACACGGUCCAAACUCCUACGGGAGGCAGCAGUGAGGAAUAUUGGUCAAUGGGCGAGAGCCUGAACCAGCCAAGUAGCGUGAAGGAUGACUGCCCUAUGGGUUGUAAACUUCUUUUAUAAAGGAAUAAAGUCGGGUAUGCAUACCCGUUUGCAUGUACUUUAUGAAUAAGGAUCGGCUAACUCCGUGCCAGCAGCCGCGGUAAUACGGAGGAUCCGAGCGUUAUCCGGAUUUAUUGGGUUUAAAGGGAGCGUAGAUGGAUGUUUAAGUCAGUUGUGAAAGUUUGCGGCUCAACCGUAAAAUUGCAGUUGAUACUGGAUAUCUUGAGUGCAGUUGAGGCAGGCGGAAUUCGUGGUGUAGCGGUGAAAUGCUUAGAUAUCACGAAGAACUCCGAUUGCGAAGGCAGCCUGCUAAGCUGCAACUGACAUUGAGGCUCGAAAGUGUGGGUAUCAAACAGGAUUAGAUACCCUGGUAGUCCACACGGUAAACGAUGAAUACUCGCUGUUUGCGAUAUACGGCAAGCGGCCAAGCGAAAGCGUUAAGUAUUCCACCUGGGGAGUACGCCGGCAACGGUGAAACUCAAAGGAAUUGACGGGGGCCCGCACAAGCGGAGGAACAUGUGGUUUAAUUCGAAGCAACGCGAAGAACCUUACCAAGUCUUGACAUCCCUUGACAGGCAUAGAAAUAUGUUUUCUCUUCGGAGCAAGGAGACAGGUGGUGCAUGGUUGUCGUCAGCUCGUGCCGUGAGGUGUCGGCUUAAGUGCCAUAACGAGCGCAACCCUUGUUGUCAGUUACUAACAGGAUUUGCUGAGGACUCUGACAAGACUGCCAUCGUAAGAUGUGAGGAAGGUGGGGAUGACGUCAAAUCAGCACGGCCCUUACGUCCGGGGCUACACACGUGUUACAAUGGGGGGUACAGAGGGCCGCUACCACGCGAGUGGAUGCCAAUCCCCAAAACCUCUCUCAGUUCGGACUGGAGUCUGCAACCCGACUCCACGAAGCUGGAUUCGCUAGUAAUCGCGCAUCAGCCACGGCGCGGUGAAUACGUUCCCGGGCCUUGUACACACCGCCCGUCAAGCCAUGGGAGCCGGGGGUACCUGAAGUGCGUAACCGCGAGGAGCGCCCUAGGGUAAAACUGGUGACUGGGGCU
rnacentral:rRNA from 1 species